AUGGCUGGGUCUCAGAGCGUCACCAGGAGGGGAUACUUGCCAACUGGCAAAGGCAUCUGUGGGCAGCACCCCCGCCCCUGUCCCCUCCCAAAUCUCUGGGGGCUGGAGGACGGUGGGAGGGACGGGAGUACAGUCCCUGUCGGCCCGAAGACGUUCUCACUGAGUUUUGAUACUUUCAGUUAUGAAAAAGUUCACACAAGAUACACACGUGUACGCACACCAGUAGAGCAGAGAGGAAUAGUACCUAAACAUUGGUCACUGAUUCGGUGGUUUAAGACAGAACCGUGGAAGGACUUUGCCGCUCUAGAAGUCCAGCGAAAGACUCACGCACUCCUCACACCUGGCCGGCUGCAGACUGAGGUCUGAGUGCGCCACCUGCCUCACGGUGCUUGGCGCCUUCUGACUGGUGUCUUCUGUCGUGUGGACGUACUACCGUUCAUCCAUUCAUAACGUUGACGGACACUGGGUGACUUCCAGUUUGGGGCUGGAAUAAAGCAGCUAUGAACGCUUGGGCACAAGUCUUUGCAUUUUCAUUUCUCAACGAGACAAGUUUUUGGUAAACGUCUUGCUUCAUCCUGAACGUCCUUCCCCGGAAUUGGGCUCUGUUUACACAGAAGAAACGUGUGCAGACGAGAGGCAAGACAAUCACCCACAGUCAAUUUGGAUUUCUGAUUUGGCAGUUAAGUCUCAGCUGAGAUAUGCUUCCGACUACUGAACAAGGUAUCAGAAGGCACAGACCCAGUUUCCACGCCAGUCCCUCAGCCCCACAGUUGCCCUCCUCAGGUGACACCACCCUUACCGAUUUCUUUUGUAACCAUCUAGAAAUGUCUUCUGCACAUAAAGCAUAUAUAGGCAGCUCCUUCUCUCACAUACGGUGCAUUCGUUUUUUAGAAAACACUUAUCCGGCCGGCCCAGAUCUCCGCUGUGGCUCCCAUAUCUCUGAUAUUCGUUGCAGCACGUGGGAUCUUUAGGUGCGGCGCGGGAUCUCCUGGUUGCGGCACGUGGGAUCUAGUUCCCUGACCAGACAGUGAACCCGGCUCUCUGUACUGGGAGUGCGGAGUCUUGGCCACUGGACCAGCAGGGAAGUCCCUACACACAGUGCGUUCCAUACAGUGUAGUCUCCUCGCUUGCUACAGUUUCUUUUAGAAGUUGAUCCCAUACUGGCACAUAUCGGGCCGUCUCUGGCUACUAAAAGAUAAGUGUUUCAUCUUCAGCCAACCAACUCACCCCUAGAAGGAUGUCGUAUUUUCACGUAGGUCAUGGAGUGGAGAAGGCAAUGGCACCCCACUCCAGUACUCUUGCCUAGAAAAUCC
rnacentral:lncRNA from 1 species